rnacentral:rRNA from 1 species
AUUGAACGCUGGCGGCAUGCCUUACACAUGCAAGUCGAGCGCGAAAGGGGGCAACCCCGAGUAGAGCGGCGGACGGGUGAGUAACGCAUCGGAACGUGCCCAGUAGUGGGGGACAACCUCGAGAAAUCGAGGCUAAUACCGCAUACGACCCACGGGUGAAAGCGGGGGACCGCAAGGCCUCGCGCUAUUGGAGCGGCCGAUGUCCGAUUAGCUAGUUGGCGGGGUAAGAGCCCACCAAGGCGACGAGUCGGUAGC